UGAAUCCGAUUGAGUGAGAUUAGUUCGAUAGAAGCUCGCGAUUGUUUUGGUUGUUGUAGAAAUGCAUGAUUUUGUAUGGUUUCAUUUGAACUGCGAACCUUUAUCAAUUUAUCCGUCUGAAUUUUGUUGGUGGAACGCAAUUGAUCUUUUAUUUUUGUUUUAAACCCUUUAUAUAAAAUGAUUAAAAUGUUUCAACAUAAUUUCAAUAUUAUUCAACCGUUCAAAGAUAAUAAUUUGAAGAUUUUACUUAAAGAUAUUCAAAAUCUAAAAACCUAACACUCGUCGUCACAACUGCAUUUUUUAAUAGCGAAAAUAAUUUAAUUAAUUCGGAGGCGAAUGACAUUUUGUUUAAACCUCUUUAAUAAAUAAUAAUAAUUUAAUUAAUGUAUAAUCAUGCGAAAAACAAUUUAUUAAUUGAUUCAAAACGCUAUAUUUAAUUACAUAAACCAACCAUAUGUACAAUUGAAUGAUUUUCAUCAAAAGUAUUGAUACUGUUGGGCCUGUGGAAGAAUUUGAAAAUUCAUCUAAAAAAUGGAAGGAUUGGAAAGCUCCAAGAUGUUUAUCCGAUGUCACUCCAAGAAAUUCUUCCGGGAUUCUUCCGCAGUUCCUGGGAGUUUCGGGUUUUUUUGGGACUUACUUUUGAGAUUCCUCCUUAUUCCGGGAUUCCUGUGGAUACUUCUUCCAGGAUUUCUUCAAAAACCUUUCUCGAGGUUCCUCCAGGAAGUGCUUCCCGGAUUCGUUUGGGAACUCCUUCCGGCAUUCCUCCGGGAUUCCUCAAGGAACUUUUUCCUGGAUUCUUGGUUAUAUGUUCGACCGAUCUUCCUGGGAUUAUUCAGGAAGUUUCUCCGGCGAUUCCUGCAGUAAUUUUUUCAGAAAUUUUAGCCACGUAUUUUCUGAGAAAUUCUUCCAAGAACUCGUUUUGGCCUACCUCCAGGAAUUCCAGCUGGGACUCCUCCUUCUGUGGUUCUUCCAGCUAAUCUUGCUAGGACUCCUCUAGCAAUUCUAACUGAUACACCUCCAUGAACUAUUCCAGGGAUUUUUCUCGGGAUUUCUCCUGGUAUCUGGGAAUCUUCAAAAAAUUUAUCCUGCGAGAUUCCCUUAGGGACUCUUCCAUGAAUUUCCAUGAAUAUUUCUUCUCCAUAUUCUUCCAGGGUUUUAUCUAGGCAUAUCUCUUGGUACUCAUUCAAGAAACAUCUUCCCUGAAGAGAUUUCUCUAGUAAUACCUACUAGGAUUUUUCUAGAAAUUCCAACUAUGCUACCUUCAACAUUUCUUCUAGGGAUUCCUCUAGAGAUUUCUAUUGGGAUUCCUUCAGCUGCAGUUCCUUAAAGAAGUUUAUUAUGUGGGUUUAAUGGCAAUUAUCAGUGGCAAAUAACGGAAACAGCUUAUGGAUUGUCCAUUAAUUACGUAAAAGUUUAUGGGGGAGAGGAGGUUUGCAAAAUCUUACGAGUCAUAUAAAAAUAUUUAGGGUUUCAUACAAACAAAUCUUAUAAGAGAGUGGCGGUGUCGGAAAAUCGUGAAAAUUUCCUUACGUAAUAAAUGGACCGCCCCUUAUUUAGCGUGACGCGUUUUGACCUACUAUUCUUCGAUCAUCAUUAGACGCCUAAAACAUUAUAGGGGUAGGCGGGGCAGAAUGAACACCCUCAAUAUUUUGAAAUAUGCGAACUUUUUUGAACUUUUAAUGAAUGGAGAAUAUAGUCCAUUUGUUUAAAACGUAGUUUCAGGAAAGAAAUAUUCGAAAUUAAAAUUAUACUUGAUUUUACACGAAAAAGUUGCGUCCUCCGUUUUUUGUGCAUGGAAAUUAUAAUUUUCAUUUCGAUUAUAAUUAUUUCGAUUAAAACCUGAUAUCUCUAGAACACAUGCAAGUAGUUUUGCUGUAUCUACAUGCUUAACAUGUUUAUAUUUUCUUCUUUAUUAUAUCAAAAAUCAAGUUUGGAAAUAUCUUCUGCUGCCGGGGCAAAAUGGACACUCACUUUUUUGAAAGAAGGGGCAAGGGAAAAAUAUAACCUAAAUCACAAACCAACCAAAUUCUUCGAUUUCAGUAUAUUGUCGGUUAAAUGUUCACUAUAGUAGACAUAGAGUGAAACAAAUUGGUCAAAAAACGACAGCAGUGGAUAAUAGUUGUUCUAGGCACAGCUGAACAUGCCGACAAAAACGAAGCUUUAUCCAAAACAGCCUGAAUUUAAAUUAAUUGAAAAAAAAUAACUACUUCGGCGUAUUAUUCAUCCAUAAUAGUUGUUUUGUAAUUAAAUGACUUUAUAGGUGUAAAUAAUGUACGAAAUUCGUAAAAGUCUCAAGGUGUCCAUUCUACCCCGUAUGCUUGAAGACGGUCAUGAAAAACUAACAUUUUUCAUAACAUUUUUUGAAGUGGAUAAAUCAUUUUUCUUUGUGAGCAUUCUUAUGUAAUAGAUGCUAAAUAGACUUUAAAAGGCCACAUGUAUCAAAAAACUAAACUUUUUUGACAUUUUGCCAGGUAAAGUUGGCAAAACCCUUAGGGUGUCCAUUAGGGUGGCCCAGACUUAUAUGAAAAACAAAAGUUUACCUAGGGUAUAACUUUUUCCACAGACGUUGGAUCACUUUGCGGUCUUCGAUAAAGUUGUUUGGCAUAUAGUCACCUACAAUAAUACCAAAGGGUUUAUUUAUUGAACGCUUACAGCGCCACCUAGCGGCAAAAUUCGAAAACUUAAAAUUUCUGCAUACAUUUGGUCAAGUUUUCCCAUACAAACUUCAAGCGUUUUGAGCGCCCCCUUAGGCUUAAUUGAUUUUGCUCAAAUUUUGAACGUAGCUUCUGGGAGUCCAAAACAUCUGAUUUAGGAGGUAAGACUUGGCAUUUUUCGAAAUUUUUGUUUUUCAUAUAAGUGUGGGCCACCUUAGUGUCCAUAUUGCCCCGCCUACCCCUACAUUUAUUUAUUACAUUGACUUAAAUACAAUACAAUACAAAACACUUGCAUUCAGUUGGAUUCACCUCUUCAAUUCCUUCACGACGCGUAGUGCGUCAUCAGCAUCAUUGAAAUCUCGCUUGAAAUUUCAAAGUGAUAAAACUCAGUUACCAAAGCGCAAAUUCGGAUGAAAAUGUAUCAUCCCAUAUGCUCACUCGUGGUGAGUGUGAUGAUACUUUUUCUACUGCGUGACUGCAAAAUUUCCCGUUUUUUAUCACUUCAAAAACGCGAGGCAAACAAUCAUUGAAAAUUAAAAAGUCAAUGAUUCCUAUGAAAAUUCUGUGAUGCACCAAGUCACCUUCACUUAUAAAAACUAAUUUGCAACACCCAUCUCAUGGGUGAAUCAUUCAAAGAAAUUUUGAAGGAAUCCCAAGAGAAAUUCUUAAAAAAAUUCCACGAAGUAUUACAGUAAGAAUUUCUGGAUGAGUCCUAGGAGGAAUUGCUGCAAAAACCACAGCAGGAAUUGCUUGGGGAAUCCAGCUGAAAAUCCUUGAGGUAUCCCAUGAGAAAUCUAUGGGGGAAUCUUUGGAUGACAUACCUGGAGGAAUCACCGGAGGAAUUACCGCAGGAACUUCUGAAAGCAUCUCAGAAAAAAAAUCUGUGGAAGAACUAUUAGUGGUAUUAUGGGAUGUAUCAUUGUAUAACCUUCAGCAGAAGUUCUAGGAGAAAUUGUUGGAAGAAAUUGUACAGGAUUUUAUAGAGAAACCCCAUCAGGAACAUCUGGAGGAAUCCAAAGAUUUUUUUGAAGAAAUAUCUGGAUACCUAGAAAAAUCCCUGGAAGAACCGGUAGAGGUAUUUCGGACAUUUCGCAGGAAUUAAUAGAGAACGGUCUAAAGGAAUUGCAGGAGGAAUGAAAAAAUCUCGUAAAGAACACUAGUUUACAGCAUUUUUGAACUCGGUAAGCUGAUGAUCAUUUUUGGUGUAGAAUCAUGCCCUGAGUUUGAAAACACGAAAGAAAAAAAUUACAGUAGAGCGGAAUUUUUUUUGACUUUCCAUACAAGGUUGAUGAUUAGAAAUCGAUUUUUGUUCUAUUUUUAAGCAAAGUCGCUCACUUCAAACAUCUCAUUCUCCGUAAUCAAUGCUCCGAUUGAGCUAAAAUUUUUACUGUAACUCGCCUACAUAUGAUAUGUCAAAUAAACGUCGAGGAAGAAUUUUAAGUUGUUUUUUUCUUAUUGAAAAAAAUAGAUUUCUUCAAAAAAAUUUGGGAAUUUUGCUAAAAUUUAAGAAGAUCGUCCCUAAAACUUGUCAAUAUCUUGAAUUUCAUCAAUCUGACGCAAAACCUGUAUUCAGAUCAGUGGCGUCGCGUAACCUCACUUUUUACCUGUGCACCGACCCUAAAACUUGUAAUUGCAAGGGAUUUAUGAUCGAAAUCGAAAUACAAAUGAGUGAAAGCAGUUAUUCUCGUCAUUUUCUAAUUAUUACAAGCAAAUUUGUUCAAAAAAUUCAAGAAUUUAUACUUGGUGCACAGGUAAAAAGUGAGGUUACGCGACGCCACUGAUUCAGAUGAUAGAAUGGUAUUGUAUUCAGCUUUUAAUUUAUGGAAAAAGAUUUUAAAUUGGUUAAGCAAAACGCAAUAUAUUCGAAUUUUAGUAAAUUGCAUAUUUUGAAAAGUUGCAAAACUCGAUAUUGAGCUAAAACUCAAAAACUGUUCUACUUAAAAAUUUUUGAAGGUCGGUUUCGAAAUCAGCACUAAAUUGUGCUUCAAAAAUUUUGGUUGUUGACAGAAGUUCACGAUUUUCGUUUUAUUUUGUAAACUUGUGGAAUUUCAACAACAAUAGCAGGAUAAAUUCCUAUAGGAAUCACCAGAAGAACUCCUGGAGGUACCAUAGCCCUUUCGGGACGAACCAGCACAAUCGUGUUGUUUUUCUACAUUAGUUUUACAUGUUUUUCAGCUGUUUUUUUCCUCAAAAAUGUUUUUAUGAUCGAGUAAUUACUUAUACUUAUAUUUCUGAGCCUCAGUGUUGAUUGGAGUUGUUUAUAAAAAAUGCCACUAUAAGUUAAACAAAUAGUAAACAAUCACCCUAGAAGUUGAAAAAGUUUUAUCUGUCGUAUUUUCAUAAAUAUUUGUUCAAUCCAAGUAUGCAGAAGUAAAAAUCGAUAGAAAAAAGAGUAGUUCUGCAAAACGGCGAAGAAAAAGUAGUACUUUUUUGAAAAGCACAAGAUUUCUGGGUGGUCAAAGUGAGACCAGCACAAUUGUGCUGGUUCGUCCCCAAGGCGCCCGAAGUUCCAUCGGAAAUUGCUAUUGUGAGGCGUUUUAUGGUAUAAGAUUGUUUUUGAUGAUUAAAUCACUACAAAGUGUUGAUUUGUAAGAAUUUAGACGUAUAAUUUCAACUCAAGGAACACGAUAUCAGCUUGUACGAGUAUUUCAAAGAACAUUGAAUACUUGGGUGAUUAAUAUUACUCCAUAUUAUCGAAUUCAUGAAUUAGAUUUUAACAGGGAUUUUCUGUUCUUUUUCACUUCUUCUUAUUCACUUCUAUGAUUUGAAGACGCUGUCAAGCUGACCUCGUGUUCCUUGAGUUAAAAUUAUACGUCUAAAUUUCUACAAUUGUUUAAAUAGUUUAAACUAACACUUUGUAGUGGUUUAGUAAUUACAAUCAAUCUUCUAUACCAUAAAACGCCUAAAAGUAGGCAAUUUUGAGCAAUUUGUUAUAGAACAACGACCGCCUUGAGGACGGACCAGCACAAUUAUGCUGGCCCUAAUUUAACCCCAAAAAGUGCAUAGGUGGAAGAAGUUGCCAAAGUGAAGAGAGUUUUAUUCCAGAAGACGUUUAGUUUAUAAGAGAAAAAUUGAGAUAAUCAGUAUGUUAUGGUCCGUCCCGAUAGAUAGUAUUUCUGGAAGAGGAAUUGUUGGAAGUACCGCAGGAGGAAUUGUUUGAGGAUCGGUUGAGGAAGGCCAAGUGGAGUUUCUGCAGGUAUUCCAUGAAGAAUUUCUGGAGGAAUUUUUGAAUAAAAUCUCUGGAGGAAUUCCUGGAUAAGUCCUUGGAGAAAUCUCUGGAUCAGUGUGCAAAAUGUUUAUAGUCAUUGACUGAAAACAGCACGAAUUUGAAUGAUUCCGCACUGAAUAUUAAAAACAAACAAAUUCAUUUUAGGUCUCCCUCUUCACACAGUCAAUUCGUAGUCAUUGAAUAUGAAGCCGAUCGAGAAACAUCUUCAUAAUUAUUUACCUACGUUUAUAGCUAUGAUUCCUUCCAAAAACACUCCACAACAAUCAAAUGGGAAAAAAUCUAUGUAAAGCACCGUGAAAUGUAAUCGAAACGUUAAUAUUUUCUCAGCAAUUUACAACUUUGUAAGAUGUUUACAAAUAUUCAUUGCCUUUCAUUCAGUUGACAAACGAGUAUCGAGCAGCUGAAUAUGAAUAUGCAGGCAAGUGUGAAGAUUUUUUUUGCAGAAUUCUUGAAGAAAUCAUAGAAGCUUUCUCAAACUGAGGACAUUCCAGCUACCUUUACAAAAGUUGCAAGAGCGUGGCUAAGACAUCUUGUAAAAAAAUUAUCAAGAAUUUGUUUCAUGGAUCUCCCAAUAAAUUUCUGUAAAUAUUCAUAAAAUUCUGUCAAAAAUCUUGUGGGACUUACUCCUGAGUACCAAAAUGUUUGCUACAAAUAAUUCUAAAGUUUUGCCACAAAUUUUCCUUUUUGUUUUAGACACUGUUUCUUUAUUAUUUGAACGGUCUCCAAUCACUUCGGAAAUGAUGUCAAUGAUUUACCAUUUUGUCUGUGGAUUUACUAUACAGUAAAUUACUGUAUUUGUUUUUCAAUAACUCAGAAAAGUAACGAUAUUUAAAAUUUUACAUUUUAUGCAAUAUGCAAUGAUUUCAAAUUUGAUCAAUGAAACCUGAUUGAUCUAUUCCAAGCUUUUUUUCAUGCAAAUACAAAAAAAAACUUGUAUUCAAAGCUUUUUUCACCUAAUAAAAAAUAUCCGAUAUGCAUUAAUUCUUUAAGCACUUUAAGUAGUAUGCAGAUGCAGAAGUUGUCAUUCAAAGUCACGGAAAGAAAAUGGUCAAAAAUAUUUCUAUCAAUACAAAUGAUUUCUAUCUGGAAUGCAAUAAAGGUCAAAAUGUGAAUGAAAAGAUGUUGGCUUUAUAUGAACUUGAUUGAUAAAAACCGUAUGCGUUUGUACUGGUGCGGAUUUGAUGACGUCGGCGCGGAUUUUGCGGUUUUCAAAGCGACACUUCUGUAACAGCCCUGCAGUAUGAAAUCAUUUUCAAAACUUUGCCUCGGAACUGGAUUUCGGUGAAUCAGUAAACCGAUUCCAAAACGGCCAAAUGUAUUCUAAGUGACCAAUCAUUGUGAUAAUAUACUUACUCCAGAAUUUCAUGAUUAUUGGUGUAGCACUUUCAACAGUACAAUCGGAAUAAUAAGGGGUGCUGACUAAUUGCUGUCUGGAGGGCGAAAAUCACGAUCUGUCCCAAUAUAUGUUUCGACUAUUAAUUUAUUGAUAGUGCAUAGAUUCUUUUGAAAUUUUGCCUAUGCAAGAAAUGUAGAUUGUGAAGCUUAUGUUCAAAAUUUCAGCCAUUUCUUUUAUCAAAUUCAAAAGUUGCAGCGCUGGAAAGUUAAACUUGGGACUGUACAAAUCUCAAUUGCACGCGUUCUACUGUUUCGUUGCUACAACAAAAAGUACUGCAUUGAUUCACAUGAAAUUUUGCAGGUGAAAUGACCAGGGGACUGUUAUGGUCUUCUUGUUUUCUUACCCAGCAUUGAAACUAUGCUGCUGUGUUAAAAGAUAGAUUGUCAGCUUGAGUCUCACGCUUGAGCCGCAGUUAUGUUGGCUACGAAAACCUUGCAUUGAACAGUGGGAAAAAUCGACCCAAAAAACGGAUCUUUUAACGCCGCUGGUUCCGGUACGUGAAGUUGGCCAUUUCUGACGUAAACAAUUACGAGAAAUCGAUUGGUGCUAAAUUCAUUCACCGCACGGCACGGGAAGUGGUCCAUUUUGCCCCAUUUUGCCCUUUUUUCAUACAAAAAGAGAAUCAAAAUGUACUUUCAAAUAACUAACACGACUGUAGAUCGUUGAAAAUAGCUGCAGGUGUAAUUAGAGGUCAAUAGAAAUCAAAAACAUACAUGAAAGAUCCUUUUAAAUGCUUAUUUUGCCCCAUAUGCCCCAACAACUUGGAAAUUGUGAAUUUUACAUAAAUAUGCAUGGAUUUUUAAUGUUACUGUUAUAUUUGAAUUUGUUUUUUUUUCGCAUAAACAAAAAGCGCUAGAUUUGUUAUCAUCAGAAUCAUCUUCAGUGGUUGUGCAAUUUGCCCCAUUUUGCCCUAUUAUCAUAGAAAAAUGAGAUUUAAAAUGUAUUUAUAAGAAACAUAUAUUGCUAUGGAAAGUUGACAUUAGUUCUAGUUGCAAUUGGAAGCUAACAGUUAUCAUGCGCAUAUGUUAAAUAUAUUUUCCCUAUGUUACCCUACAUUCCCCUAAAACUGCUGGAUGAUAAUAUUUUUUGUAUUGUUUUGUAAUUUCACUGGUUGCAAUAUAUGAAGUCCUGGAUCAUUUUUGAUGUAUACAUAUGCGUAUUAUCGAUUAGCUUUAGAAUCUUCUCCGGGGGGUACAAAUAGCUGUCCAUUUUACCCCAAUUUGCUCUGAUAUGUUGUCGCUUCAUGAAUGAAUUGAUUUCCCACAUUUGCUAAUGUCCGAAUUGAUGGACUUUUGGUACUGAAACCAAUGUAAUCAAAAGGACAGUUAAGAAUAUGACUUUGGUGGGGAAUUCAGGGUAUAAUAAACAUUAAUCUUAAUCUAAAUUAAUGGCAAAUAUGUACACAACUAAUUAAAUUUGGCAUCUUCAGUAUUAUAUAAUUUGGUGCAUUAAAACACGCUAUAUUUAAUCAGUUUAGCGCAUAUUUGACAUAUUUUAUAAAAUGCUUAUUAUGCCCUUAAUUCCCCAUCAAAAACUGAAAUUAUAGAAAAAGUCAUAUAUAUGUCUUUUUGAUAACAGUGCCAAUGCUAAUAUGGGAAAUUAAUUUAUUCAUUACAUGACAAAAAAUCAGGGCAAAUUAAUUUGUUCAUUACAUAAAAAAUCAGGGCAAAUUGGGGUGAGAUGGAUAGCUAUUCAUACCAUUCCGAGAAAGAUCCUAGUAUUAAUCGAUAACCCGCAUUUGUACAUAUCAAAAAUGAUCCAGGACUUCAUGUUUUGCAUCCAACAAAACCAUACAAAAUAUGUUAUUAUGCAGCAGUUUUAGGGGAAUGUAGGGUAAAAUAGGGAAAAUAUGUUUCAUAUACACUGAAACCUCCAUUUAAGUCGGUGCAUGGCUGAUCGGAAAUAAUUUUUACUGUACAAACAAUGACAAAACUAAAGACUUUUAUAUUUUUUAAUACUCCGCAUGACAUAGAAGAUUUGUCAAAAAAUAUAAAACUGUAUAGUUUAGUCAUUGCUUGCACGGUAGAAAUUAUUUUCGGUCAGCCAUGCACCGACUUAAAUGGAGGUUUCAGUGUAUAUGCAUGAUAACUGUUAGCAUCCAAUUUCACUUAAAGCUAAUUUCAACGUGUUAUGGCAGUAUUUGUUUUUCAUAACUACAUUUGAAAUCUUUUUUUUUCAUGAAAAUAGGGCAAAAUGGGGCAAAUCGGACAACUCCCGAAGAUGAUUCUGGUGAAAAUAGAUCUGGCGGUUUUUGUUUAUGCCAAACAAAUCACUUCAAAUCAGUAACAUUUCAAAUCCAUUCAUAAUUAGGAAAAAAUGUGAAUAUCCACAAGUUGUUGGGGCAUAUGGGGCAAAAUAAGCAUUUAAAAGGAUCUUUCAUGUAUGUUUAUGAUUUCUAUUGACCUCUAAUUACACCUGCAGUUAUUUUCAACGAUCUACAGUCGUGUUAGUUAUUUGAAAGUACAUUUUGAUUCUCUUUUUGUAUGAAAAAAGGGCAAAAUGGACCACUUCCCGUGCCGUGCGGUAAAUGAAUUUAGCACCAAUCGAUUUCUCAUAAUUUUUUACGUCAGAAAUGGUCAACUUCACGUACCGAAACCAGCGGCGUUAAAAGAUCCGUUUUUUGGGUCGAUUUUUCCCACUACACACUUAAAUUCAGAAAUUGAUCUCGGUAAAGGGUUUACCGAGAAUCCAACAGCUGAUAUCUCGGUAAAAUAUUUACUGAUUCUCGGUAAAAAUUUUACCGAGAUUUCGGCAAACCAUUACCGAAUCUCGGCAAAGUUUUGACGACAUCUCGGUAAAACUUUUACCGAGAUUCAGUAAAAAUUAUUACCGGAUUCUCGGCUGUUGGAUUCUCGGCAAUCCGUUUGCUGAGGUCGGCGAUUUAAUUUAAGUGUGUAUGGUUUUAUAUCCUACAGAAGAAGAAUAUUUAAGAUGUUGACAAGUCCAAGGCUUGUGCAGUCUCUCCUCUGUGGUCCAAUGACCACCCGUGUUUAUACUACCUUAGGUAGACAUAAUGAAACAUACCUAGACAUUUAGGUACUGUAAUGAAUAGUAUUUUAUGUAGGUAGAUAUCCUAUGCACACAAUCAUUAGGUAGACACUACAGUCCUUUCCCCUUUAGAAAACUUCAAAAAAUAACAUUCAUCACCAAAAUAAUGAUAGCACAAAUAAACUGACUUUCAAAGACCA